AUUGAUUUAUCAAUUUUAAUCCAAUUUAAAGUUGGUUUCAUUAACUGGUUAAAGUGUAUCAAUAAAAACGAGAAAUAAAACCAUUACACUUGUUAAAUAAUUGUCGCCAAAAAAUUGCGCCUAAAUGCCAUUUUGGACAGAUUUGCGCAAACUCGGGUUUAACACGUGAAUUUGACCGUUAAGUAUCAAAUGAUUUGUUAGUGUGCUUUUUUAAUUGUUUUAAUCUAAUUUAAACUUGAUGAGCUACUACAAUUAAGAGCUUUUACUUUCAUAUGUUGAUGCUAUCAUGUUAAAGAUUUCAUUGUAAAGUUCAUAUUGAUAGUCUAACAACAUGAGAAGCCGCUAUUCAACAAUCGCAUUGGAAACAGUUGCCAAUAUUGCAGACGUCUUUUGACUAAUUUGAAAAAGUGUAUUAUCAAUUUGUACCUGUCACUUUUGUUGCCUUUUUAAUUUGUUAAUUGGAUUAGAAAUGGAUUACCAACUUAAAUAGUGAAUUCUUGGAUCACAAUCAAGUCUAUUAACAAACAAUUGAAAUGGUAAAAUCUGGCUGUUAGAUAGAAGGGUCAACUCCUUUCACAUCUCGCGAAACAGCAAAAUUGUUUUGAUUGAGAUAACAUCAAUUGGCUCUUUUGCAACCCUGAUGAUAUAAAGGUAAUGAUUAAGUUAACCAUUCAAUUGAUCAAAUUGAGCUUAAAGGAUUUUGAUUUAUGUGAGAAGAAAAGGUAAAAGUCUGAAAAAAAGUGUUUUAAAAGAGAAACGGAUUCAAUUUCAUAUCAAACAUUCUCAACACGAACAACACUUUUUUUUCAUCUUCAUUUUUUUAAAAUGACGAUUGAUAAAAAUACGUUUUAAUAGCUUUUUUUCAUUUCUUGGUCAUUACCUGAUCACUAAGAUGACGGUGAUAAAGAUGAAAGGUAAAAUCUCAAACCAAACCGGUCACCAGCAAGAAGAUUCAAUCUGGCUCUCUCUCAUCUUCAGCACCAUCUUAAAAGCCACUCAUCCAGUCAAAUCAACACAAAACAUGGAAAUCAUGCUACUGAACAAAGUCAUUCUAAAGGUGAUUUCUCUUUCAGAUAACCUAAAUGAGUGUUAACUGUUGAAUAGGAAGAAGAUAUAAUAAGUUAUGAGAUGAACCUUAAUAAUUUGGCAAAAACCCUGAUGAGAUUCACGUUUAAUUUAAUUACCUGCAUAUUCAUCAGAGUAUCAACUCAAUUGUUCUAGAUUUAAGGAUCAUAAUCAUUUACAGGAAUACCAAGCCAUUAAAGGAUUGCAGUUCCUUUGCCAAAUUUAAGCUCAACGACAUCUUAACUGUUCACUUUGAUGGUGUUAUGCUGUUGAUGUUGAUCAAAAAUGGAUGUAAAUUGAUUUACAAAGUCUCAUCAGGAAGUUAAUCAAUCUACUUUCAUAGUAGAAUCAAUUUAACAGUUAACACAUUGAUCCGUAACAAAUGCAAUAACUAACCAAUAAUGUUCACAUUGUGGAGUUCAAUGUUAUCCUGAUUGUUCACCUUGAUUUUUCCGAGAAAGUUAUUCGAGAAUGAAAUGGAAGAGGUAAAUCAAAAUUAGAAACCCAAAAUUAUUGUAAUUGUACAAUAAAUGUUUUUGUUAACCAUUCUAAUUGUGUUUUACAUAAAGAUGGAGUUAAUCUUAAUCAUAUUCAGUUUAUGAGGUAAAAAUCAAUGGCCUAACCAUAAGAAGAUAUAUUGGCAUAAAGACAUGGACGUUAAUGGACAACACAAAUACCUCAAACUGGACUUAAAGCAGGAUUAACCUUUAAUUAACCUUUUUCUUUAAUAACACGUUAUCAAGAUAAUGAUGAUGUUAUUUAUCCAAGGAAUCAACUCCUUUAUUUUUUCUAGUUUUCAUUAGCUUUUGCUAUUUAUUGUUAACCAUCAUUAACAUUCAUAAGGCACGUUAUUAUAAUUAGUGAUUGAAUAGAUGUUAACCUGAAAAGAGAAAAGAUUCAACUGAAAUUAUGUUUACUCGCCAUGUCAAUUAGUAUUAUCAUUAUGGCGGUGAUUAAAGGUAAAUUGGUGGAUUCACAAAUGAAGACCAUAUGAUGAUGUUGAUUGCGCUGCUGUUUAUCCUUCAUGAUUGUCCCAACAUUAUCAGAAUCUGAUUCAGGUCAUUUUACCGAAAAAGAAUAUAAUGAUUCUGUUAAAUUGAUCAUUUUUAAUUCUCAUUCUGAUGUUGAAAUCAAAGAGGAUAAUCGUGAGUUACAUGUUUACCUGUAAAUGAAUAGGAGUAGGAAAAAAGUGAUUCUUUGAUCCGUUUUGAUCAAGUGUAUUUAUGUGAGUGUGUAUUUGAUUAAAAUGAAGGUAAAGGCAUCAUUUGAGGUAAAUUGAAUUCGGUGUUAAGUGAAAAUUAAAGCUAACAAUUAACCAAAGAGAUCAUCAAGUGACUCGAGGCCAAACAAAUCAUCUUAAUUAUUUGGAAUCUCAGUUAAUUAAGUUAGUAAAAUUCAAUUGAAAAUAGCAAAUCAAUAGGAAAGGGAAAGAAAAAAGUCUCGAUAAAGAUUUCUCAUCAUCAUUAAGAAACCCUUCUCUACCUGAGUUGCAUUGAAAAAUGUCUGUUUGUUUAUUGACCUCUUUACAUUUGAUUGCUUUCAAAUUAACAAAUAUUGAAUCCUCAAACAUCAUCAUUAUCAUCAUUUUUGAGCUUCUUCACACAACUGAAAGGGAGAUUCUGGAUGAUAAUGAUUAUUUUAAAAACUGUUAACUCUUGCUUGCUUGUUGAUAACUGGUUAAAUAAUACAAUUCAAUUCAAUUUAAUACAAUUCAGGCAAGCACAAAAGUCACGAUCAAAUGUUUCAAGAUUGACGUUUAAUCAACACAAUUAGUGGCUUUAAAUAUGUGCCUUUACCUCUCACCAUCUUCACCCUCAGUCUAAUUCAAAAAAGGUGAUACAAUCGUCACCUUAAACCAUAAUUUACCAACAAUUAUAUUACUAUUUGACUGGUUCAUUACAGUAAAAAUAAUGUGAUUGUGAGUAAAUAUGAUUUUUUAUAUUGACAAUAAAUCAACGAUCAAAUUAUGAGAAGUGAUUUCAUUGCAACAAUCAUUUCAAUUACUUAGCUGUUAACAGUAAUGGCUGUAAACAGAGGCUAGCUAAUGUUAUAUGUAAGAUGGGAUUGUAAUGGAAACCAUUGAAGACAUGAUCGUUUAUUGAUUUAUCAAGUUAAUUAAGAUGAUUUAGAAGGAGAAGCCUCACACGAUGAUUUAAUCCAUCCAUUAAUCAGCUUUAAUCCGAAUGUUAUUUUGAAUAAUAUUGACAUAUUUGAAAAAGUAGUUUAUAAUUACAACUUUCAUCUGUUAGUCUGUUUGUGUGUGGUUCAACAAAUCGAUACGUAUUUAAAUUAAUAAUAUCCUUCAAUAGGAUAUAUUCAACUUAACAUUGCAAAGAUUGUAAUUAAAAUUAAAUUGAACCAAAAUUAAAUGAUUUUUUAAC